rnacentral:pre_miRNA from 1 species
GGCAGAGGAGGGCUGUUCUUCCCUUGGGUUUUAUGACUGGGAGGAACUAGCCUUCUCUCUGCUUA